GACGAACGCUGGCGGCGUGCCUAACACAUGCAAGUCGAACGGAAAGGCCCUGCUUUUGUGGGGUGCUCGAGUGGCGAACGGGUGAGUAACACGUGAGUAACCUGCCCUUGACUUUGGGAUAACUUCAGGAAACUGGGGCUAAUACCGGAUAGGAGCUCCUGCUGCAUGGUGGGGGUUGGAAAGUUUCGGCGGUUGGGGAUGGACUCGCGGCUUAUCAGCUUGUUGGUGGGGUAGUGGCUUACCAAGGCUUUGACGGGUAGCCGGCCUGAGAGGGUGACCGGCCACAUUGGGACUGAGAUACGGCCCAGACUCCUACGGGAGGCAGCAGUGGGGAAUAUUGCACAAUGGGCGGAAGCCUGAUGCAGCAACGCCGCGUGCGGGAUGACGGCCUUCGGGUUGUAAACCGCUUUCGCCUGUGACGAAGCGUGAGUGACGGUAAUGGGUAAAGAAGCACCGGCUAACUACGUGCCAGCAGCCGCGGUGAUACGUAGGGUGCGAGCGUUGUCCGGAUUUAUUGGGCGUAAAGGGCUCGUAGGUGGUUGAUCGCGUCGGAAGUGUAAUCUUGGGGCUUAACCCUGAGCGUGCUUUCGAUACGGGUUGACUUGAGGAAGGUAGGGGAGAAUGGAAUUCCUGGUGGAGCGGUGGAAUGCGCAGAUAUCAGGAGGAACACCAGUGGCGAAGGCGGUUCUCUGGGCCUUUCCUGACGCUGAGGAGCGAAAGCGUGGGGAGCGAACAGGCUUAGAUACCCUGGUAGUCCACGCUGUAAACGGUGGGUACUAGGUGUGGGGUCCAUUCCACGGGUUCCGUGCCGUAGCUAACGCUUUAAGUACCCCGCCUGGGGAGUACGGCCGCAAGGCUAAAACUCAAAGGAAUUGACGGGGCCCCGCACAAGCGGCGGAGCAUGCGGAUUAAUUCGAUGCAACGCGUAGAACCUUACCUGGGUUUGACAUGGAUCGGGAGUGCUCAGAGAUGGGUGUGCCUCUUUUGGGGUCGGUUCACAGGUGGUGCAUGGCUGUCGUCAGCUCGUGUCGUGAGAUGUUGGGUUAAGUCCCGCAACGAGCGCAACCCUUGUUCACUGUUGCCAGCACGUUAUGGUGGGGACUCAGUGGAGACCGCCGGGGUCAACUCGGAGGAAGGUGGGGAUGACGUCAAGUCAUCAUGCCCCUUAUGUCCAGGGCUUCACGCAUGCUACAAUGGCUGGUACAGAGAGUGGCGAGCCUGUGAGGGUGAGCGAAUCUCGGAAAGCCGGUCUCAGUUCGGAUUGGGGUCUGCAACUCGACCUCAUGAAGUCGGAGUCGCUAGUAAUCGCAGAUCAGCAACACUGCGGUGAAUACGUUCCCGGG
rnacentral:rRNA from 1 species